AGCAGCCGCGGUAAUUCCAGCUCCAAUAGCGUAUAUUAAAGUUGUUGCAGUUAAAAAGCUCGUAGUUGAAUUUCGGGAUCAAUACGUCGGUCGUGCUUCGGUACGUACUGGUGUCAUUGAUUUCUCCCUUCUGACGAACCAUGAUGUCAUUAACUUGGUGUCAUGGGAAAUCAGGACUGUUACUUUGAAAAAUUAGAGUGUUUAAAGCAGGCUCACGCUUGAAUACAUUAGCAUGGAAUAAUGAAAUAGGACGUUCGAUCCUAUUUUGUUGGUUUCUAGGAUUGACGUAAUGAUUAAUAGGGAUAGUUGGGGGCAUUAGUAUUCAAUUGUCAGAGGUGAAAUUCUUGGAUUUAUUGAAGACUAACUACUGCGAAAGCAUUUGCCAAGGAUGUUUUCAUUAAUCAAGAACGAAAGUUAGGGGAUCGAAGACGAUCAGAUACCGUCGUAGUC
rnacentral:misc_RNA from 1 species